GUCUACGGCCAUGCCACCCUGAACAUGCCCAAUCUUGUCUGAUUUUGGAAGCUAAACAGGGUCGAGCCUGGUUAGUACUUGGAUGGGAGACCACCUUGGAAUACCAAGUGCUGUAUGUG
rnacentral:rRNA from 1 species